rnacentral:tRNA from 1 species
GCCUCUGUAGCUCAGUGGUAGAGCAACCGCCUUGUAAUGAAGGAAACUGGAAAGCGGUAGGUCAUGAGUUCAAAUCUCAUCAGAGGCU